UACGUAGGGGGGCAAGCGUUGUCCGGAAUCAUUGGGCGUAAAGCGCGUGUAGGCGGCUUGGUAAGUCUGCUCUGAAAGCCCGGGGCUCAACCCCGGGGAGGCGGGUGGAUACUGUCAAGCUCGAGUCCCGGAAGAGGAGUGUGGAAUUCCUGGUGUAGCGGUGAAAUGCGCAGAUAUCAGGAGGAACACCAAUGGCGAAGGCAGCACUCUGGGACGUGACUGACGCUGAGACGCGAAAGCGUGGGAGCAACAGG
rnacentral:rRNA from 1 species